UCCCCACCUCUUCCUUCGAGAUGAAAACAGGGCAAGGCAGCAGAGGUGAGCAGGCUUGGAGAUUGGAAAGCCAUGCCUCUCUUUGGGAACACAUUCAGUCCCAAGAAAACACCACCUAGGAAAUCAGCCUCUCUCUCCAACCUGCACUCGCUGGACAGAUCGACCCGUGAAAUUGAGCUUGGUCUGGAUUAUGGCACUCCCAACAUGAACCUCGCUGGACAAAGUCUGAAGUUUGAGAAUGGCCAGUGGAUAGCAGAGUCAGGGAGCAGCAGUGGGGAUCGCAGGGAGACGCAGCGCCUGCGCAAGCGCAACCAGCAACUGGAGGAAGAGAACAAUCUCCUGCGUCUGAAAGUGGAUAUUCUGCUGGACAUGCUCUCUGAAACCACAGCUGAGUCCCAUCUGAUGGAGAAGGAGUUGGAGGACCUGAAAAGUCACAGUCGGAGGAGGAAGUGAACAGCAGCAAGAGACGGAGUUAGGGGAUGGGCAAGCAAGGAAAUUUGAUUUGAAAUCUUCAUCACGCAGGCAAGCAGGGUUCCAAAAGCUGAAUCCAGACCUGGCUGGGUCAUUGUAUUAAUUGCAUAUGGUGAUACUCCAGACAGCUGGAAGGCAACUUCCCAAUGCUUGAAAUGUUAACAAACCUUCUAAUAGUACUGGAGGCCAUCAGCUAUACUACUUCAUACAGCUGCUGCAUAACCAUUAUCUUGAUGCUCUUGAUAAGUUAUCCUAGGACAUGCUCUGUGGCGAUGAACAUCUGUUUCUGCCUAGACCACUCCUUACUUACUUUUUCCUCUGUAGAUUUGGCACUCAAGACAGAGAGCUGUUGGUGGAGAUAUAUGUUGAUAAUGUGUUCUCUCAUCAAGUCCUGGGUGAAAGUCUUACACUGUAAACAGAGGAGAAAAUAUGAGUGGAUGGUAGGGAAAAUGGUUUUGUAUAUGUGCAUGGUCUUUGUGUCUCUGGUUUACAGCUUCUGUAUGGGUCUCCUUGCUAGUCUCUUCGAUCUCACAAGCUCCAGGUUGGCCCCUCCCCUAGCUUCUGUUCUUAAACAAAUAACAACCUAAACUAAAAUAAUCUUUCCCUUUUCAAAUAUUUAUUAUUUUUGUACAAAGCAUUAACUCUGCUUCCUGCUGUUGGGAGGUGGGUUUCUUGGAAUUGUUUGUUCUCCUGAGUAUUUCAUACAUUUUUAUGAAGUUAAAUUAAAACAAAUCACGUUUGUGA